rnacentral:rRNA from 1 species
GAUCCUGGCUCAGAUUGAACGCUGGCGGCAGGCCUAACACAUGCAAGUCGAACGGUAACAGGAAGCAGCUUGCUGCCUCGCUGACGAGUGGCGGACGGGUGAGUAAUGUCUGGGAAACUGCCUGAUGGAGGGGGAUAACGUACUGGAAACGGUAGCUAAUACCGCAUAACGUCGCAAGACCAAAGAGGGGGAACCUUCGGGCCUCUUGCCAUCGGAUGUGCCCAGAUGGGAUUAGCUAGUAGG